rnacentral:rRNA from 1 species
CUGCUGCCUCCCGUAGGAGUCUGGGCCGUGUCUCAGUCCCAAUGUGGCCGUUCAACCUCUCAGUCCGGCUACUGAUCGUCGCUUUGGUGGGCCGUUACCCCGCCAACUGGCUAAUCAGACGCGAGCUCAUCUUUGGACAAUAAAUCUUUGGCAGCAGAACCAUGCGGUCCCGUUGCAUUAUGCGGUAUUAGCAGCCGUUUCCGGCUGUUAUCCCCCAUCCAAAGGCAGAUUGCUCACGCGUUACU